rnacentral:rRNA from 1 species
ACGCUCGACACCUACGGGAGGUAGCAGUGGGGAAUAUUGCACAAUGGGGGAAACCCUGAUGCAGCGACGCCGCGUGAGCGAAGAAGUAUUUCGGUAUGUAAAGCUCUAUCAGCAGGGAAGAAACUGACGGUACCUGACUAAGAAGCACCGGCUAAAUACGUGCCAGCAGCCACGGUAAUCUGAGCGGCUGGCAAGGC